UUACGGUCAUAUAGCGUUGAAACAUUGGUUCCCGUACAAUCACCGAAUUUAAGCAACGACGAGCCAGAUCAGUACCUAGAUGGGUGAGCGUUUUGGAAUACCAGCUGAUGU